GUCCCGCCUGCCCUGUGACAUAAACUGUUUAACGGCCGCGGUAUUUUGACCGUGCAAAGGUAGCGCAAUCACUUGUCUUUUAAAUGAAGACCUGUAUGAAUGGCAUAACGAGGGCUAAGCUGUCUCCUUUUUCGAGUCAAUGAAAUUGAUCUCCCCGUGCAGAAGCGGGGAUACUAACAUAAGACGAGAAGACCCUAUGGAGCUUCAGACACCAAGGCAGCAUAAAGUAAACAUCUAAAAAAGAAAUAAACCAAAAAUGACCUGCCAUACUGUCUUUGGUUGGGGCGACCGCGGGGAAACAAAAAACCCCCAUGUGGACUGGGAGAAUACCUCCUACAACCAAGAGCCACAGCUCUAAUAAACAGAACUUCUGACCUUAAAGAUCCGGCACAUAGCCGAUCAACGGACCGAGUUACCCUAGGGAUAACAGCGCAAUCCUCUUUUAGAGCCCAUAUCGACAAGGGGGUUUACGACCUCGAUGUUGGAUCAGGACAUCCUAAUGGUGCAGCCGCUAUUAAGGG
rnacentral:rRNA from 1 species